UUUCGGGCCAAUGGCCUGGAAACCCGUGUCCCCUCGACAAGAGAAUGCAGUGUGGGGACACGGGUCAGUACAGCAGCAGCAGGCGCGACCCCCGAGUGGGGUAGGCGAGUGAGAAUGGGCCGGUCCCUCUGCGCGCGAAGAGCACGCCGGCGCCCACCCCAGCUCCCUGCCGGCAGGGGGCGUCCUCUCCCCCAGCGCAUCGGCUGUCUGUGUCACGGAGGACGCCCAACGGUCCAGCAGAGCCAAUGCACUGGGCCGGAGGAAGCUCUGGUAUCCUGACCCCGGCCGGCGGUGGGGCAGGGGGCUGAAAGCAAGGUGCACCAAACCCGUUCUCCAGGGCCGCUAGCCGUCUGCUGGAGACUCCGAGCUGCUCAGCCAAGGCUUGCAGUAAACACCCUGAGAUUUGCGCUAUGGCCGCAGAGAAAGGCGGGGUACCUAACUCAAAAGAGUCGUUUCUGCCCUCGAGUCUCAGCGUUCAUCUGUACGAUGGGAACCAAGAUUCCGCCCUUGCAUGGCGAGGGUUGCUGCGAGGCUCCUGCGGGAGGAGACGAUCCCUGCGGAGUAAGUGAAUGCCGAGGCGGAGAGAGAAAAACGAAAGCAGAAAAGAGGGAGGAGGGGGCCCUGAGGCGGAGGAGGAAGUUUGGCCGCAAGGAGGCACCUCGAUUCCCCCAAACUCAGUGUGAGCCGCCCCCCAUCCCCGUCAGAUCACUAUGGAGAGGGGCAUCAGCCUGCUCUGAACUGUGGACAAGAGUGUCAGUUCUCUACGAGGCUGGCGCCUCGGCGUGAUUAGACCGUCUCCUGGGGCCCGCCGCAACCACGCACACCUCCAGCAGAUGGCGCCACAAGGCAGCACAGCCGCAGGAACAGGAGACUUGGAGUCCAGGAAAGGCGAGUGUCCCACAACUUUGGGCCACGAUUCCCAACUACCAGGAAACGGGGAUAUAGAGGAAGUCGCCACUUCCGAUUUAAAAGAAGAAGAAGAAAUUGCAAUGAGAGGGAGGAACGCGGUCCUAAACUGAAAAAACUAAAAUAGGGCUAAGUGCACGAGAUAAAACUUUUUCUAUUUGUUUCUAGAAGUUUACCAAGACUUGUAGUAUCGAGAUAAGUCUCUCACCUAAGUAUUAUCUCACUUCUUUUUUGUAAAAACAUAGAAUUUAGAGUUAGAACGAACACUGAAAGACAUCUGGUUAGUCUGGUCCAGCUUUCCAAUCUGGGAGGAAAUCCCCGGGAUCGCUUUUCUGGUGUCAAUUAGCCAUGAAAUAUACAUCAUUACUCGGUGUCUCGGCGUGUCAGGAAAGUACAAGGGGAAAGGGUUUCAAAUCUAUCAUUAGCAAUAAUACCUUUGAAUUUAUAUAGCUUUUCUCUCACGCAACAAGGAAAAAUCGUUUAAAUAUUAUCCAAUUAAUUGUCCUAAUAUCCCUGCGGGUUGGUUAGGAAGCAGGUAUUAUUAUACGUGGUUUAUGGAUAAUUUAAAUCAAUUGACUAAGUCAAG
rnacentral:lncRNA from 1 species